GGUGCUAUAGUGUAGCGGUUAUCACAGCGGAUUCUGAUGCGGUCGAGUUCCGUUAACCCAGGUUCGAUUCCUGGUAGUACCU